GUGUCAGGAGACAGGAAGCGGGUCGUGUUUAGCUUGUCCCGUACGAGUGACUCUGUCUUCGGGGUAAAUAACUUGCUGAAGUCGACACGACGCUGUUCCCUGGAGGAGAAGAUGAGUGCGUGUGGAGGCAGAGCCGCGGGCCCGGUGUGGACGAGUCGAGGCGGAGAAGACGGAAGCACAGUCCCUGAGUUACGCCUCAGCCCCCCCCCCCACACACACACAAACAAAGAGGCGUUAGGCUGAGACGCUGAAAGUCCGGAUUUAAAGUGCAGAAAAUUAAGCCAUUGAAUCUGCCUGUCCAUGACGUACAAAGACACACUAUGAGCCAGUAUGAUCCGACCAGACCUUACAUCAGCAUUGAGGAGUUGUCGGAGAAGAAAGAGGCUGAUUGAAGCGGGACAGAUGACAUGGAUCCAUCCUUCCACAGCCAGGAGCGCACCGACCUGUGUCCCACACUUCAUAUAAGACUGGAAGCUACACUGGAUCUCACAGCUACACACCACAGACGUCUACACACUGGAGAAGAGUCCCACAAAGAAGUCAUGACCCAGAGGCUGCAGAGAAACAUUUCAAGCCUCACCUGAGAUUUUGUACAAUAUUUUUGCUGUAUGUAAAUAAAGCUUUCACUCCACAUA